CCUCGUAGGCCUGCUGCGGCGAGAUGAAGUGGAUGUGCGAGUCCACGCCGCCGGCGGUGAGGAUGAGCCCCUCGCCGGCGAUGCACUCCGUGCCGGGUCCGAUCGUCAUCCCCGGCGUCACCCCCGCCAUCGCGUCGGGGUUGCCCGCCUUGCCGAGGGCCGCGAUCCGGCCGCCGCGGAUGCCCACGUCCGCUUUGGUGACGCCGCCCUGAUCCAGCACGAGCGCGUUGGUGAUGACGAGGUCGAGCACCUCCUCCGGCGGCGCGCCGGCCGCCUGCCCCAUCCCGUCGCGCAGG
rnacentral:sRNA from 1 species